CUGGAUCACAGUAGGGAAAGAAGCCACUUCUUGGGGAUAGAACCCAGGGAGGAAUAAAGAAACCCACUUUUCUACAGUCACAUAGAAAGUCAUAAAUAGCAGCAAAAUUGAAUUUCUAAGGCACCAGGAGAAUGAGGAGAAGCUUGUGGCUGACUUGAAUCCCUCAGAUGAUUUUGUUUUAUGAAGGAUGGGAUGAAAAUGUCAGAGUACACGGAAAACAUCUUAGUUCUUCCCAUCUCCAGUGGGAUCAUUCAAAUCCUGCCCCAGGUCCUGUUGAGCUAGUGCUGAUGCCCCAGGAAGAGGAGCAAAGGGGCCAUUCCUUCAUCUGCUUCUCAGAAUUCUACACCAUCUCCUAAAACACAAAAAGGACACAGUUUGCCAGGCUUAGGUGACUUGGAGAAGGAUGAUGGAAAUCAUUCAGAUCAUUCCCUUGGCAAUGUAGCCAGCCCCAUUCUGGACUUCCCUGCCACGACAUCCUCAGUCUCUCACACAUAAGGUAAUCCAGGUUGAAUAUUUCUUCAGUCAUGUUUCUGGAGUCUGAAAGAAAACAAAGUCUCACAGUGUUCAAGAAUUCAGCUACUGAGACUGAAGCCAAAUAGAUUCUUGGAGAAAUGUGAAGAAAGCACUUAGCAGAGUAUCUGGAACAUUAC
rnacentral:lncRNA from 1 species